GGCCGGCCCCGGGCUCUCGGCCGCCGCGGGAGGGCGUGGGGCGGGGCGGCGGCCGCCGGACUCUCCCCUCGCCUCGCCGGGCCGGGCCGGGGCCGCGCUCGGGCGCCCGCGAUCACCAAGUGACAGAAGUGCCUCGCUCCGCUGCCGCGCCGAGCUGUUUCCCGGGGGCGGAUUUCUCGCUUCUUCCUCCCUGGAUCCACCUCCUCCCACUCCACCUCCUUCCCCUCCCCUCCCCAGGGGAGGCUCCGGGGCUGAAUAUUUUCUGUCUUGAAUAAUAUGGUCCCGGGAACCAACGCUGGAGAAGGGGGAUUAGCCUGGGGCGGGGUGAGGGGUGAUCGCCAACCCCCUCCCAAUGUGUGUCGGGACCUACAAGCCCUCGCCGCCCCCAACACCUCCCCCAAAGCCAGACACACAAAACCCUCCCCGCCUUCGCCAAUCUCUCGAGCUCAGAGCGGGAGCGGCCAGGAACCCGGGCUUCUGCUGCGGAAGGCUCGGUGCUCCGCGUCAGGGCCCGGGAGGGGGACCUUCAUACAGCCAGAUACCCAGAAUUGGGGGAUCCCAGGUCCCAGACGGCGGGGGACACGUCUGGGCUAUCUGGAUGGAGCGGAGCAAAAGCACAGAACUAAGAUGUGGGAAACCUGAAUCCUAGUCUU
rnacentral:lncRNA from 1 species